AGUUUUUGGAGAAAAAAAUAAUUUGUUUUUGAUUCUGAGAAAAAAAAUUGUUUGUUUCACCCUCAGCUGCCACUACAUGUAAUGCUAAAAUUGAAAGAAAAAAAUUGUUUUCGACUUGUCGCGAAAAAAAUAGAUUGUUUUUCGCCACAGGCGAAAAAAAAAUUUGUCCAGAAAAAAAAACCAUAGCCCCCCCCAGAAAAUCAAAUGGUUGCUGCCUAA
rnacentral:lncRNA from 1 species